GCGCCCGUAGCUCAGUGGAUUAGAGCAGCAGACUUCGGAUCUGCCGGUCGGGGGUUCGAAUCCCUCCGGGCGCGC
rnacentral:tRNA from 1 species